GGAUAUUUAGUCCAAACAAGACACUUGAUUUCGGCUCAAGAGAUUGAGGUUCAAAUCCUUGACUAUCCU
rnacentral:tRNA from 1 species